UACAGAGGUCUCAAGCGUUGUUCGGAUUCAUUGGGCGUAAAGGGUGCGUAGGCGGCGCGGUAAGUCGGGUGUGAAAUUUCGAGGCUUAACUUCGAAACUGCAUUCGAUACUGCCGUGCUUGAGGACUGGAGAGGAGACUGGAAUUUACGGUGUAGCGGUGAAAUGCGUAGAUAUCAGGAGGAACACCGGUGGCGAAGGCGGGUCUCUGGGCCGAUACUGACGCUGAGGAGCGAAAGCAUGGGGAGCGAACAGG
rnacentral:rRNA from 1 species